GAUGAACGCUGGCGGCGUGCCUAAUACAUGCAAGUCGAGCGAACGGACGAGAAGCUUGCUUCUCUGAUGUUAGCGGCGGACGGGUGAGUAACACGUGGAUAACCUACCUAUAAGACUGGGAUAACUUCGGGAAACCGUAGCUAAUACCGGAUCAUAUUUUGAACCGCAUGGUUCAAAAGUGAAAGACGGUCUUGCUGUCACUUAUAGAUGGAUCCGCGCUGCAUUAGCUAGUUGGUAAGGUAACGGCUUACCAAGGCAACGAUGCAUAGCCGACCUGAGAGGGUGAUCGGCCACACUGGAACUGAGACACGGUCCAGACUCCUACGGGAGGCAGCAGUAGGGAAUCUUCCGCAAUGGGCGAAAGCCUGACGGAGCAACGCCGCGUGAGUGAUGAAGGUCUUCGGAUCGUAAAGCUCUGUUAGUAGGGAAGAACAUAUGUGUAAGUAACUGUGCACAUCUUGACGGUACCUAAUCAGAAAGCCACGGCUAACUACGUG
rnacentral:rRNA from 1 species